GAUGAACGCUGGCGGCGUGCCUAAUACAUGCAAGUCGAGCGAACAGAUAAGGAGCUUGCUCCUUUGACGUUAGCGGCGGACGGGUGAGUAACACGUGGGUAACCUACCUAUAAGACUGGAAUAACUCCGGGAAACCGGGGCUAAUGCCGGAUAACAUGUUGAACCGCAUGGUUCUACAGUGAAAGGCGGCUUUGCUGUCACUUAUAGAUGGACCCGCGCCGUAUUAGCUAGUUGGUGAGGUAACGGCUCACCAAGGCAACGAUACGUAGCCGACCUGAGAGGGUGAUCGGCCACACUGGAACUGAGACACGGUCCAGACUCCUACGGGAGGCAGCAGUAGGGAAUCUGCCGCAAUGGGCGAAAGCCUGACGGAGCAACGCCGCGUGAGUGAUGAAGGUCUUCGGAUCGUAAAACUCUGUUAUUAGGGAAGAACAAAUGCGUAAGUAACUGUGCGCGUCUUGACGGUACCUAAUCAGAAAGCCACGGCUAACUACGUG
rnacentral:rRNA from 1 species